UACGUAGGGGGCAAGCGUUGUCCGGAAUCAUUGGGCGUAAAGCGCGUGUAGGCGGCUCGAUAAGUCUGCUGUGAAAGUUCAGGGCUCAACCCUGAAAUGCCGGUGGAAACUGUCGAGCUAGAGUCCGGAAGAGGCGAGUGGAAUUCCUGGUGUAGCGGUGAAAUGCGCAGAUAUCAGGGGGAACACCAAUGGCGAAGGCAGCUCGCUGGGACGGUACUGACGCUGAGACGCGAAAGCGUGGGGAGCAAACAGG
rnacentral:rRNA from 1 species